rnacentral:rRNA from 1 species
GUAGGUGGCAAGCGUUGUCCGGAAUUAUUGGGCGUAAAGCGCGCGCAGGCGGUCCUUUAAGUCUGAUGUGAAAGCCCACGGCUCAACCGUGGAGGGUCAUUGGAAACUGGGGGACUUGAGUACAGAAGAGGAAAGCGGAAUUCCAAGUGUAGCGGUGAAAUGCGUAGAGAUUUGGAGGAACACCAGUGGCGAAGGCGGCUUUCUGGUCUGUAACUGACGCUGAGGCGCGAAAGCGUGGGGAGCAAACAGGGAUUAGAUACCCUGGUAGUCCACGCCGUAAACGAUGAGUGCUAAGUGUUAGGGGGUUUCCCGCCCCCUUAGUGCUGCAGCUAACGCAUUAAGCACUCCGCCUGGGGAGUGCGGCCGCAAGGCUG